ACUUAAAACUGGUUAACUAGAGUAUUGUAGAGGAAGGUAGAAUUCCACGUGUAGCGGUGAAAUGCGUAGAGAUGUGGAGGAAUACCGGUGGCGAAGGCGGCCUUCUGGACAGAUACUGACGCUGAGAUGCGAAAGCGUGGGGAGCAAACAGGAUUAGAUACCCUGGUAGUCCACGCUGUAAACGAUGUCGAUUUGGAGUUUGUUGCCCUGAGUGAUGGGCUCCGAAGCUAACGCGAUAAAUCGACCGCCUGGGGAGUACGGCCGCAAGGUUAAAACUCAAAUGAAUUGACGGGGGCCCGCACAAGCGGUGGAGCAUGUGGUUUAAUUCGAUGCAACGCGAAGAACCUUACCUGGUCUUGACAUCCACAGAAUCUUGCAGAGAUGCGAGAGUGCCUUCGGGAACUGUGAGACAGGUGCUGCAUGGCUGUCGUCAGCUCGUGUUGUGAAAUGUUGGGUUAAGUCCCGCAACGAGCGCAACCCUUAUCCUUUGUUGCCAGCGAUUUGGUCGGGAACUCAAAGGAGACUGCCGUUGAUAAAGCGGAGGAAGGUGGGGACGACGUCAAGUCAUCAUGGCCCUUACGACCAGGGCUACACACGUGCUACAAUGGCGUAUACAAAGGGAGGCGACCUCGCGAGAGCAAGCGGACCUCAUAAAGUACGUCUAAGUCCGGAUUGGAGUCUGCAACUCGACUCCAUGAAGUCGGAAUCGCUAGUAAUCGUGAAUCAGAAUGUCACGGUGAAUACGUUCCCGGGCCUUGUACACACCGCCCGUCACACCAUGGGAGUGGGUUGCACCAGAAGUAGAUAGCUUAACCGCGAGGGGGGCGUUUACCACGGUGUGGUCCAUGACUGGGGUGAAGUCGUAACAAGGUAACCGUAGGGGAACCUGCGGUUG
rnacentral:rRNA from 1 species